CUUUUAAGUCAUAUUUGAUGUAUGCAGCAUUGUUAUAUCAACUGACUGUAACAUAGCUACUUGAUUGUGCUAUAAAAUGAUCCUGUCUGCCUGGAAAACUCAUAAUGCUGCUCCUCCACCACCAAAAUCACCUGAUGAAAAAUCAUCUUUCAAAAUAAAAAUGUUCUAUAGUACCUGAACGUUUCCUCAGUCGUUUAUGAGCAGCCGUAAAGUUGGGUGGGACAGCUUGUUUUCUUUUGUUCUCCUUGUUUUAAUGCUUUUGCACAGUGAAUCCUUUAAUGUGAAUCUUCUCUCCACUCCCACACUGUACGGCAAAAUUGUUUAGGACAGGUGACUUUUCCAACAUCGACAAUCAGCUGGAAAGCAGCUGGAACGGGCGCGGCCAUUUAUCAAGAAGAGGGAAUUAACUUCAAAGGGAUUUGAAGACGUCUGUGUAGAAUGAAGGCUCCGGGAUGAAUUAUGCAUGAAAACGCCUCACCAGAAUAAUAUGCUGACACAAUUUGUCACACCCCACCAGAAUGCACAAGUCGCAGAGUUAAGGGGGAGGAGCAGGCCGGGGGGACUGAGGCAGUCAAGUUGCAUCGUCGCUCUGGGCCAGUGGUAGUUGAACAACUGUGUAAUCUACACCGUGAGAAUAAGUUUAGUCAUUUUCUAAUUUUCAUGCAAUAAAUUAAAACUUUUUUGAUACAUUGUGCUUCAUUUAAAAUGUGCUUCAUUUUUUUUUACCUGUGUAAUCCUGAAGUGCUUCGAGGCUGGACGUGAGGUGUGUGUCGCCCCCAUGCACCUCUAAAAGCCUGCUCUGCUGUCGGCGUGGGGAGGAUGCACAUUUGAGAGCUGACAGUUUAAUGGAGCAGAAAACAAACAGCAGCAAGGAUUUUUAGACUCCCAACAUUUAAAAAAGAAAAAGCUUUUCCAGUGUAAUAUGAAUUCUUUAACCCAUAAAACCUGGAAGAACCUCUCCAUACAUGUGAAGUUGCGCAUGUCAAUUCCGGCUUUAAUGCGUUACAUCCAAAGUGGUUAUUUAGUGUUUUAUUAAUGCUUAUGAAUAAUAUCAAGAUCUGGUUAUUGUUAGGAAAGCAUUGAUCCACUUUUUCACUUCUAAGUACGAUACCGAUCCGAACAGAAGACCAGCUGCAUUGAUUAAAAUGGUUCUGGUUUUUACACAUAACUGUUCUGAAUUACACAUUUAUUUGAUAACUCUGUAUCAAUAAAGCACACUGAAAUACACCAACAACUUCACAAGCUUGGUCAAUCAUAUAAAAACAACUUGAAUUUGUUCCCUCAGUGCAAUUAGGAGAAGAUCAGCCAGUGUAAAAUAAAUCAACUGAAACUGGCAAAACCAAUAGGUUGACUACUUUGGUCAAACAUGUCAAAAUAAAUUGCUACAAACUUUUCAGAUGGUUCACAAGGUGCCAUUAAGAAUUCUAAAUAUAAUGUAAAAUAUAUAAUAAAGCACCAGGCUCAAUAGAUCUGCCCAUAUCGAUUCAACACAUUGUCAUGGAUACCUGAUUUAGAUUUUUUUUUUCAAUAUCGGGACCAACACAGGUAUUAAUAUCAUAUCAGUGCAUCUCCAGUUAUUGUCUUACGUCUUGAAUUUGUGUUGAUACAAAGCAGAAAUAAAGAAGCUGUUUUUAUUGGUUAUUUCAUUUCAGUUUAGCAAAUUCCAUCCAUGACAACCAGAACCAAGUUCAAAUUCAAUCAUGUAGAAAUCAGUCCAAUCCACAUUCAUUUAAAAUCAAUUAUUAUUUUUCCUUUUUUUUUUUACUAAUUAAAAAAAGGGUCAAUUGUGUGACCCUAAAGGGUUAAUUUAGGGUCACACAGAUAUUUUGAGUAGAAGUGGGAAAGACUGGCAAAAUUCAGACUAAUGAUCAGGCAAAUAACAGCAAAGUUUGUCAUAGAAACUUUUUUUUUCUGCAAGGGAAGAAAAAAAAAUAGAAAUUGCAGAUUUACAGCAAACCUAAUGUCCAGGUGUCAUCAGAUCUGAGUCACUCAGAUUCAAACAUACACAGAGCUUUACUGUAAAAUACAGCAGCUGCAGAGACGAUCCAGGAGGACAGAGAUCAACAUGUCUCCCAGAAUGCAUUGCAUCUGUUGCUCAUUAAAAUAUUGCAAUGAUCAGUUAAAUGGAAGCUUUUGUGUACAUAUAUGUUACAAAUUGCAAAUGUAUCAAACCGUUUCUGUGCGGCACAUUGCUGCCGCUGUGACGCUAACGAGGCUUCGUCUCUGUCUGUUUUUCCCCGACAGUCUGAAGAAUCAGAUAUGUGUCCAGUGAGCGUGGGACGCUGAUGAAGACACCAACUCCUGGAUUGAUGUCAGACAAGCUGUGGUCAGCUUGCCCUGCUUUCUCUGCCUCUGUCCUGCUCAUUCAGCCGCCUUAUCAUCAUUUCAGUUUUUUUUUUUUUUUUUUUGUAUUAUUUUACUUUUCUCUCUCUUUCUCUUUCUUCUCGCUCUGAGUAUUUUGGCUGCCCAGACCAAGGAGAGUUAUAAAGAAGUGUUUUUUUAUUACUAUUAUUAUUAUUAUUAUUAUUAUUAUUAUUAUUAUUACUAUUAUUUGGAGCAACUUUCACAUGACCAUCUCCACUAUCAAAACAAAAGGAAGAGCUUCGGCUUCUGUCCGCAUCACCAGGCUGCUCCGACGCUCUGUUGGAAACUCUGUUAGUUUGUUUACUUUUCCGUCUUUCAGUCUGAAAGAAAGCAUCCGGGAGGAUCUUUUGCUCAACAGCUUUUCUAAAACAUGCAUGGACAAAGCUCUACUUUUUUCAGUAGAAUAUCAAAUACUUUAUGCUGAGCUUUGAACUGAGGAAAUGAGGGUUUGUUUGCUUCUACUUGAAAGAAAUGGAACAUUUUUAAUUAUACAUUCAAUAUUAAAUACGGCUUCACCACUGACUUUUUUUUUCUCCACACACAGAACAACUUUUACUGGAUACAGUGCUUUCUUGUCGUAGCCCUAAACCCUUUUGCAGCUUGAGAUAGGUUGAUAGCAAUAAUAACACUGCUCGAACUCUCACUAUUUUGUAAAGUGUAUCUGUCUGUUUACUAUGCUAAGCGAAAAUAGCUGUUUUUUGCAAGAUGAUUAGUAUGAUUAUAAAUCCCAGCAUCUGUUCUUUUGUUUUGCUGCUUUUGUUGGAGGAUCAAUCUGCUAAACGAAGGAUCCACAAAUGUUGGAGUUUUGAGGGAAAAUUCUAGAUUUACAACAACUUUCAUAUAAAGGUGAACAAAGUGAGAAUAUUAACCACUCGAUCAGAAUCCUAACACCGGGAAAGAGAAACAAAAAGCAUCUCCAUUUUUGUUGGUUGCAAGCAGAGCUUUGAAAUGCAAAAAGGAGAAAAAUGAUUAAUAGACCAAAACAAAUGGAGUAAGAGAUGCACUGAAAUAUUAAUUUAAAUGUGGAGGAUUAUGAAAUAUUGACUUUUUUUAGCUUUAUAUUAUGUUUUAAUGUCAUUCUCUCAUCGAACCAUACAUGGAGUGUUGCUUUGACUGGUUCAUCCAUGUUUGAGAAAUCUUCGAGUCUCCCGUGGCAACCAUUUGGGGACGCCGUAACACCUCAUUUGAUGCAUUCAAAAUUUGCCCAACGCUCUUGCCCAAAUCCCACUCUACAUCCCUUGGAAGCUUGAAGGAGGAGCUUCAUCUCAAAGGCGGAGCUUUGUCCACCCAGGUGUCUUGCACAGCUUAAUGGUUGCCACGGGAGAUUAAACAUGCAUGAAAGAAAAAAGGCAACACUCCAGGUAUGUUCUCGCAAGAAAAUAACAAUUACAUGAUGUAAAGCUCACAAAAGUUGCUAUUACAUAACACUGCCCCUUUAAAGCCUCUGUUGACACUGAGAUUUUUGUUAAAGAGAGUAAAGACAUAACAAUCCGAUAUUUGACACCAGCAUUAAAUCUGUCUGAGAAAUACAGGAAUUGAGCAUUUCCUGUAUUAUCUUAUUAUAUAGACUUAAAACCACAGAACAAUUAUCCGUCAGAUGAAAUUUUAUGAGAAUCUGGUGUUUUGGAGCCUUGGUGGCAGUAACGGACUCUGCUUUUAACUUUUUGGUUUAAUUUUUCAUUCGGCUCACACCCAAAGCCUGGUAAUGAUUAAUAUCAGAUCGGUGUAUCGAAACCAAGAUAAAUGAUGAACUUGGUCGUUUUAAGUCCUUUUAAUUCUUGCAAAAAUAUUUCUUAUGAUGUCUACCACGUGUUCUGCUCUGGGGGGAUUUGUUUUGCUCUUUAAAGCAAAGUAAAUAAUGCUGGUGAAACGCUGUCAGUGCUGCAGGUUUGGGAAAGUCCCAUUUGGACAUCUGAAUAGUGUUCAUCUCAGGGAGGAGCACCCGUUUGCUUUAGGCUCACAAACGCUGCUGAGAGAGAGAAACGAAAAAAAGUCAUUUGUACUGAAACCUCUCCCCUUUAAAGUUUUUCAGAAUGUGUAUAUGGCAAAGACUGAACCAUAAUUGUCAUGGUUUUGUAAAAUAAUAUUGUUGUGGAUUCCUGUAUUGAAAAUUUAGUCAUAAAACAUGCAGACACAAAUAUAUAUAUACAUAAAAUCCUAAGCUUAUGUAGCACUAUUCUUUCUCAGAUGUCAUGUUAAUAGACAUAUUAAAGCCAGUAUUCAAAUAAUGAGGGUUUUAAGAGAACUAUAAAUGGUAAAUACACUGAUGUUGUGGGUCAGUUUAGGAUAUUAUUGCUAUCUGUUUACAGUAGAAGUCAUUUUAUUCACUGUCAGUUUCAGUGCUGAUCAAAAUGUAGCUUUGACUGUUGUCAUACAAAGUGCUUUUUUCUGAACAGACCUCUUUGAGUUUUGACGUCUGGAAUCACUUGAACACAGAGCUGGACUGUUUUGUGGAGCGGGACUCGGAGCGAACAGCUGAGGAACUGCUGGCUGAUGUCACAUUUGCUGCAAGAGAUCCCAACAGCGACGACUUUAGGACUGAUUUUAAUAUGACCAUUAAGAUUUGCACGUGUGAUUUGUUCUUGCAAGGUCGCCCAGGAAUCAUAAGCCCAGCCUCCCUUUGUGCGCCGAGUUUGUGUUUUGUUUCUGUCUGAGAAAAGAAUAAAAAACACCUGCAACAACAUUCA